ensembl:miRNA tni-mir-29a-1 tni-mir-29a-1
AGGUUGACCGAUUUCUUUUGGUGUUCAGAGUCCAAUUCUGUUUCUAGCACCAUUUGAAAUCGGUUACAGUGA